AGGAUAAACGCUGGCGGCGUGCCUAACACAUGCAAGUCGAACGUCUCUUCUUUCGGGAAGAGGAGUGGCGGACGGGUGAGGAACACGUGGGAACCUGCCCUUUAGUGAGGAAUACCGGCGAGAAAUCGCCGACAAGACCGCAUAGCCCUCUUUGAUGAGAGUCAAAGAAGGAAAGCUUCGCAAGAGGCGCUAGAGGAGGGGCCUGCGUCCGAUUAGCUAGUUGGUGGGGUAAGAGCCUACCAAGGCGUCGAUCGGUAGCUGGUCUGAGAGGACGAUCAGCCACACUGGGAUUGAGAACGGCCCAGACUCCUACGGGGGCAGCAGUGAGGAAUUUUCCGCAAUGGGCGCAAGCCUGACGGAGCAACGCCGCGUGCAGGAAGACGGUUUUCGGAUCGUAAACUGCUUUUCUCGGGGACGAGAACGGACGGUACCCGAGGAAUCAGCCCCGGCUAACUACGUGCCAGCACGCCGC
rnacentral:rRNA from 1 species